UCGGGAUCGGGGAUAACAUUGCGAAAGCGAUGCUAAUACCGGAUAAUAUCUCUUGAACCUCGGUUUUCGGGAUCAAAGGUGGCCUCUCCUUGGAAGCUUCUGUUUGGGGAUGAGCCCGCGUACCAUUAGCUUGUUGGUAGGGUAACGGCCUACCAAGGCUGCGAUGGUUAGCUGGUCUGAGAGGAUGAUCAGCCACACUGGAACUGACACACGGUCCAGACUCCUACGGGAGGCAGCAGUGAGGAAUUUUGCGCAAUGGGGGAAACCCUGACGCAGCAACGCCACGUGAGUGAUGAAGGCUUUCGGGUCGUAAAGCUCUGUCAAGUGGGAAGAAAUCACUUGGUGAUAAUACCACCAUGUGUUGACGGUACCACUGAAGGAAGCACCGGCUAACUCCGUGCCAGCAGCCGCGGUAAUACGGGGGGUGCAAGCGUUAUUCGGAAUUACUGGGCGUAGAGCGCGCGUAGGCGGUUUGGCAAGUCAGAUGUGAAAGCCCGGGGCUCAACCCCGGAAGUGCAUUUGAAACUGCUUGACUUGGGUAUGGGAGAGGGAAGUGGAAUUCCUGGUGUAGCGGUGAAAUGCGUAGAUAUCAGGAGGAACACCGGUGGCGAAGGCGACUUCCUGGACCAAUACUGACGCUGAUGCGCGAAGGCGUGGGGAGCAAACAGGAUUAGAUACCCUGGUAGUCCACGCAGUAAACGUUGAACACUAGGUGUAGCGGGUAUUGACCCCUGCUGUGCCGCAGCUAACGCAUUAAGUGUUCCGCCUGGGGAGUACGGCCGCAAGGUUAAAACUCAAAGGAAUUGACGGGGGCCCGCACAAGCGGUGGAGCAUGUGGUUUAAUUCGACGCAACGCGAAGAACCUUACCUGGAUUUGACAUCUCGGGAAUCUCUUGGAAACUUGAGAGUGCCCUUCGGGGAGCCCGAUGACAGGUGCUGCAUGGCUGUCGUCAGCUCGUGUCGUGAGAUGUUGGGUUAAGUCCUGCAACGAGCGCAACCCCUAUCUUUAGUUACCAGCAUUCAGUUGGGGACUCUAAGGAUACUGCCCCGGUUAACGGGGAGGAAGGUGGGGAUGACGUCAAGUCCUCAUGGCCUUUAUAUCCAGGGCUACACACGUGCUACAAUGGACUGUACAAAGGGUCGCGACACCGCGAGGUGAAGCUAAUCCCGUAAAGCAGUACGUAGUUCGGAUUGGAGUCUGCAACUCGACUCCAUGAAGUUGGAAUCGCUAGUAAUCGUGGAUCAGAUGCCACGGUGAAUACGUUCCCGGGCCUUGUACACACCGCCCGUCACACCACGAGAGUUGGUUGUACCAGAAGUCGUUGGGCCAACCCAUUAGGGAGGCAGGCGCCUAAGGUAUGGCUGAUGAUUGGGGUGAAGUCGUAACAAGGUA
rnacentral:rRNA from 1 species